rnacentral:piRNA from 1 species
UUUGCAUCUGAGUGAAGUGAA